rnacentral:rRNA from 1 species
AUUGAACGCUGGCGGCAUGCCUUACACAUGCAAGUCGAACGGCAGCACGGGUGCUUGCACCUGGUGGCGAGUGGCGAACGGGUGAGUAAUGCAUCGGAACGUACCCGGAAGUGGGGGAUAACGUAGCGAAAGUUACGCUAAUACCGCAUACUCUGUGAGCAGGAAAGCGGGGGAUCGCAAGACCUCGCGCUUCCGGAGCGGCCGAUGUCGGAUUAGCUAGUUGGCGGGGUAAAGGCGCACCAAGGCGACGAUCUGUAGCGGGUCUGAGAGGAUGAUCCGCCACACUGGGACUGAGACACGGCCCAGACUCCUACGGGAGGCAGCAGUGGGGAAUUUUGGACAAUGGGCGCAAGCCUGAUCCAGCCAUGCCGCGUGAGUGAAGAAGGCCUUCGGGUUGUAAAGCUCUUUCGGACGGGAAGAAAUUGGUGGGGCUAAUAUCCCCAUCGGAUGACGGUACCGUAAUAAGAAGCACCGGCUAACUACGUGCCAGCAGCCGCGGUAAAAC